GCCUCCGUAGCUCAACCGGAUAGAGCACCCGCCUUCUAAGCGGACGGUUGCAGGUUCGAGUCCUGCCGGGGGCGCCA
rnacentral:tRNA from 3 species